CUGGCUUUCAAUCAUACAUGUCCUUUUACUUCCUGGUUUGGUUUGCUCAGUGGAGCUAAACUCAAGAUACAGCAAUUGCUCAGAGCACCUGCCUUGCAAAGACUUCUCAUUGAGCUGCAUUGGGAAGUCUGUGAUUGGACAGUCACAGAAAGUCUGGGUGGGGUUAAAAGGGGAGGGCUUGCAAAAGCAGCAAACAAGAGACCUGCAGCUUUUGCAAGCGGUUUUUAG